AGUGUUUUAAUGACACAUUUAAAGUCUUGCAAAUGUUACUAGUAUAAAGGUAUUUUUCUACAACAGUAUAGUUUACUAAACAUUAUAAAUUAACUGAAAUGGGUGACGUUUUGUUCAAAACCUGAUUACUUUCAUAGUCGCAAUUAUUGGUAUUUUGGUUGGCCUGUGCUCUGUCCAUGCUGAAUCAUGUGGAAGAUACGAUAACUUCACCGACAUCGUUUUUGAAUGCCGUCAAAACGAAGGUGGAAUGCUUGUUUUAUCAGAGCUGUCUGCUUGGCAUUAUGGUGACGACACAGAGAUAACUAAGAAAGAAUUUGUGGAAGACACCGAGGCUUAUUGCAGAAACGUAACCCCAAAAUACAAGGAGUGUAUAUCUGGCUCAUCGGCUUUGCAGAAGUGUGGAAAUUCAGAAGACAUUACAACUGCAAUGGGGAAGGUAUCGCUGACUGGCUGAAAGAGUAUGUUUCCCAGGGUUUCAACUUCAAGCACGCAUGCGCCUUGGGUGAACACAACAUAAGUUUGAAGUGUUAUUUUGAUCAGGUUUUCAAAACAAAUCAACAUAACACAGGUGUGUACAGUAUCAAGGAAUAUAAUGAGUGGGCGAAAAGAGUGUCGACUGACUGGUUUGAUUGCACGAAAGAUAAGAUGCCUCAGCUGAAGUCUUUGUACACUGAAUGUACAUCUCAUUGGCAAGACGCCCUCCUUGUUGCCUGGCUGUCUUACUCCGUCUCGUUUCAUCCUGGGCUAAGGCUAUAUCCAGAACAGAUAUCUCAAAUACUAGCUAUAAAGAAAUUAUCAGUCUAGACACUAUUGUCUUUGCCCUUGGAGCAAGAAACGUACAGUAAGCGAAAACAAAUAUACAUACUGACAUUCGAGACAUGUGUUGUUUUGUCAAUAAAGAAGUAGAGC